rnacentral:lncRNA from 1 species
AUUUAAUGAAAUUCAUUGGUGAAAUGGUAAGGUUGUUCAUUGUGAUUUAACUGAUGAGGCAUUGAUUAGAUUUUUGUGAGUUUAGUGUUGAAAGUCAUGAUUUGUAUCUUGAAAUCUUUUGACAUAAUGGUUGAAUAAAAAUUUUCUGGAAAUCAAACUUUUGUUUUACACGAGGACGUGUAAAGGCUAAGUGUGGGGGAAUUUGAU